CAGAGUUACUGAUCACUGUAUAAGUGCACAUGUUUGUGAUUUGGAAGAUACGUUUAGGAGUACAAGCUGCAUUUCUCCACCAACUAAGCAAUCAAGAAUGAUGGUUACUGGAGUUGGAUCCUGAGACUUCUGUCUUUCAAGCUGGUCGUUCCUUCCACUGAUGAAGAUUGAUUUGAAUUCUUAUCCUGCCUACCAAGUUCUCGAUGGUCCAUGGUGAAACUGUAAAGCCUUUAAGCUUGAUGGACCAGUCUCCACAUUUUAAUUUACACCAUCGAUGAACAGAAUCUGAAUAGACCAGAACUGAGGAACUGCACUUACUACCUCUUGCCAAUUGCAGAACAAUCCAUUAAAAAGUCAUUU